GAUGAAGAACGCAGCGAAAUGCGAUACGUAAUGUGAAUUGCAGAAUUCAGUGAAUCAUCGAAUCUUUGAACGCAUAUUGCGCUCUCUGGUAUUCCGGAGAGCAUGCUUGUUUGAGUAUCAGUAAACACCUCAACUUCCAUAUCUUUUUUGAAAUGGGAGUUGGACUUGAGUGAUCCCAACGCUUUUCCUCACCGAAAAGUGGCGGGUUACUUGAAAUGCAGGUGCAGCUGGACUUUUCUCUGAGCUAUAAGCAUAUCUAUUUAGUCUGCCUAAAAAACAGAUUAUUACCUUUGCUGCAGCUAACAUAAAGGAGAUUAGUUCUUGUGCUGACUGAUGCAGGAUUCACAAAGACAGGCUUCGGCCGACUUUGUAAACUCGAUCUCAAAUCAAGUAAGACUACCCGCUGAACUUAAGCAUAUCAAUAAGCGGAGGU
rnacentral:misc_RNA from 1 species